ACGAGCGGGGUCAAAUCCUUUGCAGACGACUUAGCUGUGCGAAACGGUCCUGUAAGCAGUAGAGUAGCCUUGUUGUUACGAUCUGCUGAGGGUAAGCCGUCCUUCGCCUCGAUUUCCCCAAUGGGUUCUCCGGAUUUCUGGAGACUUGUAGGGGUUGUGGGCUUUUUUCGAUGUGUCGUCUCUGGACGGGCGGUGCAGGGUAGUCGAGUUGGACUUGGUGGAAUUUCAUUCCGUCGAGUCUGGCGGGACUUUGUGCGGCUGUGUGCUGGACGGUGCAGGGUAGGCUGCUUGGUCUUGGUCGAUUUGAGGAUCGAUUCGAGGGCUGGGCGCUGGUAGCUUGAGGUGUAUGCGGUCUAGGGUAGGCUGGUUUGUCUUGGUCGAAUUUGAUGUUGGCUUCCGUGCGGACCAGAUCGAGCGUGGUACAG
rnacentral:rRNA from 1 species